AAUACACUUAGCAGUGAUUAUUGGCUACCUUUUUCAUGGGACUCACAACUGUCAAAUUGUGAUCAAACAAAUUGUGUUUUAUUUGAAUGAAAUGAAUAUCAACUUUGACAAUGAGUCUGCUUUCAAACAGAUUGAAGAAAUGAUGUUGUAUUUAACAAACAAUCCGCUCA